rnacentral:rRNA from 1 species
ACGAACGCUGGCGGCGUGCCUCAUACAUGCAAGUCGCACGAGAGCGACCGGUGCUUGCCCUGGUCAAUCUAGUGGCGAACGGGUGAGUAACACGUGGGUAACCUGCCCAUCAGAGGGGGAUAACAUCCGGAAACGGAUGCUAAAACCGCAUAGGUCUUCGAGCCGCAUGGCUUGAAGAGGAAAAGAGGCGCAAGCUUCUGCUGAUGGAUGGACCCGCGGUGCAUUAGCUAGUUGGUGAGGUAACGGCUCACCAAGGCCGUGAUGCAUAGCCGACCUGAGAGGGUGAUCGGCCACAUUGGGACUGAGACACGGCCCAAACUCCUACGGGAGGCAGCAGUAGGGAAUCUUCCGCAAUGGACGCAAGUCUGACGGAGCAACGCCGCGUGAGUGAAGAAGGUUUUCGGAUCGUAAAACUCUGUUGUUAGAGAAGAACAAGUGCUAGAGUAACUGUUAGCGCCUUGACGGUAUCUAACCAGAAAGCCACGGCUAACUACGUG